UGCGAACGGGUGAGUAACGCGUAGGUAACCUGCCUACUAGCGGGGGAUAACUAUUGGAAACGAUAGCUAAUACCGCAUAACAGCAUUUAACCCAUGUUAGAUGCUUGAAAGGAGCAAUUGCUUCACUAGUAGAUGGACCUGCGUUGUAUUAGCUAGUUGGUGAGGUAACGGCUCACCAAGGCGACGAUACAUAGCCGACCUGAGAGGGUGAUCGGCCACACUGGGACUGAGACACGGCCCAGACUCCUACGGGAGGCAGCAGUAGGGAAUCUUCGGCAAUGGGGGCAACCCUGACCGAGCAACGCCGCGUGAGUGAAGAAGGUUUUCGGAUCGUAAAGCUCUGUUGUAAGAGAAGAACGUGUGUGAGAGUGGAAAGUUCACACAGUGACGGUAACUUACCAGAAAGGGACGGCUAACUACGUGCCAGCAGCCGCGGUAAUACGUAGGUCCCGAGCGUUGUCCGGAUUUAUUGGGCGUAAAGCGAGCGCAGGCGGUUUAAUAAGUCUGAAGUUAAAGGCAGUGGCUUAACCAUUGUUCGCUUUGGAAACUGUUAGACUUGAGUGCAGAAGGGGAGAGUGGAAUUCCAUGUGUAGCGGUGAAAUGCGUAGAUAUAUGGAGGAACACCGGUGGCGAAAGCGGCUCUCUGGUCUGUAACUGACGCUGAGGCUCGAAAGCGUGGGGGAGCAAACAGGAUUAGAUACCCUGGUAGUCCACGCCCGUAAACGAUGAGUGCUAGGUGUUAGGCCCUCUCCGGGGGCUUAGUGCCGCAGCUAACGCAUUAAGCACUCUCGCCUGGGGAGUACGACCGCACAGGUUGAAACUCAAAGGAAUUGACGGGGGCCCGCACAAGCGGUGGAGCAUGUGGUUUAUUUCGAAGCAACGCGAAGAACCUUACCAGGUCUUGACAUCCCGAUGCUAUUCC
rnacentral:rRNA from 1 species